rnacentral:lncRNA from 1 species
AACAAAGGGUGAAGGCCAGACAUAGAAGGUAGAUAUCCCUUAGUAAGCAUUGUAUUUGUUUUACAAACAAGACCAGCACAGGGCUAAGGACUUGAGUCCUCAUAUUCUUACCCAAGAUCUUGACUGCCUCUCAAAGCAACUGACUCUUAACAUGAGUUUGAAGUAGCCAUGAAGCAACUGAUCCACAUUAAUCCACGCUGACACAGAGACUAUUGAACUGUCACUUGUCAUGAUGGAAAUCCAGAUACUUCAUUCAUAGAUCUAUUGGGUUCUCCAAAACACAAAAGGAAAGAAUAUUUCCCUGUCUUGGUAGACAUUCCUAGAGGAAACUGUACUACACAAAAGAGCUAUAAAUGGCAGAAGUCUAGGCAUGGAACCUAGUGGUCAAAGAACCCUGUUUUGUUGAGGAAGGUGGUGGCUUUGGUUCAGAUGUUGUAUGUGCUCAAACAGAGAGUGUUGAGUCCUGGGUAUCCCUGUAAGUGUAAGCCUCCAAAUAAAGGAGUAGUUUCUCAAGGGUGCCUGCAGGUUGGAUUCCCAAAAACCAAAGGGAAGAACCAAAGAGACUGCACAGAGUCUUCAUGGGAAUUCUGCAGAGAGCUGAGAGACAACCC